rnacentral:lncRNA from 1 species
GUCGAUAGUAGCCGUGGUAGUAAUGCCCCGGAGCCCAGCUACCGACCCGAGGCGCCGAUCGGGAAAGUCAUAAAGGGACGUUAAACGUAAUUCUAGAAGGGCCUUCCCGCAAAAAAACCGAGUAAGUGAAAGUUUUUUAGACUAGUCCCACUAAGAUGGCGAGGAAACUGACUUCCGAGAGAGCUGCUUUCGCCUCGGUAAUUACCUAACGAGAGAGAGCCGAUGCAAAAGUAGUCCUUUACGCGAGGAAACGCCAGACUGACCUCU